rnacentral:rRNA from 1 species
UACGGGGGGGGCAAGCGUUGUUCGGAAUUACUGGGCGUAAAGGGCUCGUAGGCGGCCAACUAAGUCAGACGUGAAAUCCCCAGGCUCAACCUGGGAACUGCGUCUGAUACUGGAUGGCUUGAAUUCGGGAGAGGGAUGCAGAAUUCCAGGUGUAGCGGUGAAAUGCGUAGAUAUCUGGAGGAGUACCGGUGGCGAAGGCGGCAUCCUGGACCGACAUUGACGCUGAGGAGCGAAAGCUAGGGGAGCAAACGGG